rnacentral:rRNA from 1 species
UACGGUGCGCCUAACAAUGCAAGUCGAGCGGUAGAAUUGAUAUUGAGUCUUCGGAUGAUUUAUUAAUUUGAGAGCGGCGAACGGGUGAGUAACACGUUGGUAUCUGCCCCCAAGUCAGGGAUAGCCAUUGGAAACGAUGAUUAAUACCGGAUAGUCUCUUCGGAGUAAAGAUUUAUUGCUUGGGGAGGAACCUGCGUUCUAUCAGCUUGUUGGUGAGGUAAAAGCUCACCAAGGCUAUGACGGAUACCUGGUCUGAGAGGAUGAUCAGGCACAAUGGAACUGAGACACGGUCCAUACUCCUACGGGAGGCAGCAGUGAGGAAUCUUCCACAAUGGGCGAAAGCCUGAUGGAGCGACACCGCGUGAAGGAUGAAGGCCUAACGGUUGUAAACUUCUUUUCUGAAGGAGCAUAAUGAGAGUACUUCAGGAAUAAGGGACGGCUAAAUACGUGCCAGCAGCCGCGGUAAUACGUAUGUCUCGAGCGUUACCCGGAAUCACUGGGUGUAAAGGGUUUGUAGGCGGCUUGUUAAGUUGGAUAUGAAAGACCGGAGCUCAACUCCGAGUUUGUGUUCAAAACUGGCAAGCUAGAAUCAAGGAGAGGUAAGCGGAAUUCUAAGUGUAGGGGUGCAAUCCGUA